UCUACACCAUGAAACCAUUUAACCAAACCCACUGAAAGUCUGAAACCAUAAACCCUAACUCCCUCUCUCACAUAGUCAUAUCUGACAUCUUUUUCACUCAGGGAAAGCUCUGGUCGUCCGGCGACCAGCUGCUAGCAGAACUGCCUUGUCCGCUUACCAGGCCACCGCUUCAAGGCCUUCAUUCCUUCAAGUCUUCAACCAAUUCCUAAACACUUAAAGUCUGGUCUACGGCCUAACGUCUACCACAAUCCACAGCUGCACUGCGCCGACCACCUACGGCACCGGCAUGGUGACCGACGAGAUGACGACAAGUCAACAACGAACCAAGUGAAACACAGAAACAGUGAUUUAAUGAACCGACUAAGCAAGGUAUAAAUUAUAUGUUUAUUGGUGAAGUCGGGAGAUUAGCUGCUCGGUUCGAUAAAGAAGUUCAGCAUCAAAAGGCUUGCUUUGAGUUUUUAGUUGUCAUGAAUUCUAUUAAUUGGCCUCUCGGAGUCAGACUGCUUAAUAAAAUAUAUUUUUGGAAAUGAAAACGGCCCAACGAGCCCAAGUCCACUGCGCUGUGAGUGAUUGGCUUUUUGAGUCAUCCGAGUUCGUUUAAGGCCCGAAAACAACGUUUAAACAUUUUCUGGAUUGCUUAUUUUCAUAUUAGAGCUUUGUUUAAACUAUUUAAACAUUUUAGCCAUCUUUAAUUUCAAUUUUGACAUUUUAAUAAUAUUCUUGAGAGUUUUACUCUUUUAUGGUA